UACGGGGGGGGCAAGCGUUGUUCGGAAUUACUGGGCGUAAAGGGCUCGUAGGCGGCCAACUAAGUCAGACGUGAAAUCCCUCGGCUUAACCGGGGAACUGCGUCUGAUACUGGAUGGCUUGAAUCCGGGAGAGGGAUGCGGAAUUCCAGGUGUAGCGGUGAAAUGCGUAGAUAUCUGGAGGAACACCGGUGGCGAAGGCGGCAUCCUGGACCGGCAUUGACGCUGAGGAGCGAAAAGCCAGGGGAGCAAACGGGG
rnacentral:rRNA from 1 species